AAUCCAUAAGCUGUACUUUGGAAAUUUAUAUUCAUUAAAUAAAAGUUUAAAAAAAAUUAAUUAACAUUUGAGUCUUAGUUAAUUGUGUGAACACUGGUCUUGGGAUAUCAGAUAAUUUAAAAAGGAAAACAUGUAACCACUGCCUACACAUACAUUUUUUAACAGUUGUUUUAAUCAUGCUGCUAGCAGAUGGACUAUGAUUUGUUACAGAGUUCUGCCUUAUAUCCAGAUUUCCCCUUUGACCUAUUUCUGGUGCUUUUUGGAAUUAACUGUAUAUUUACUUCUCUUGGCAAAUAUGUGAACAGACAAAACUUGUAUCAGUAAGUAACAUUGUUACCCACUAACUCCUUGUUGGUCACUCUUGCUUGUAGGGCAGUGAAAAUAGAAUAAAGGACAUUUUAGGUAGAAAUGGGUGGAAACUGAGCUGGGACAUUUUCAAUAUCUUUCUGAACUUUCUUCAUGAUUUUAUCCCAGGGACUUUACUGUGUGAACACGUUUGACAGAGGGUCUGGAAGUUCAAAAGCUCUCAUGUAAAAACUCCUAACUGAAGAAGGAAUAAAUCAAUGAGGAAGCUGAAGUCCUGACUGUGUUUCUUUAUUCAAAGUUCCUUCAGUCUCAGCUUCUUCACCUGUAACAUGGUGUUAGUCUCUGUUGAGGAUUUGAUGAGGUGAUGCAUAGAAAGGGCUCACCUGGCACAGUAACCAAAAUAAUGAAUUAAAAGAAACAAAACCAAACCACAAAGAACAGAUAAUUCACAAAAGUAACAGCUAGUCCGUGUGUGUGUGUAAACUAUAAACAAAACCUGGGUGGCACCAUGGCUCACUAGGCUAAUCCUCCACCUGCAGCGCUGGCACCCCAGGUUCUAGUCCCAGUCGGGGUGCCCGAUUCUGUCCCAGUUGCUCCUCUUCCAGUCCAGCUCUCUGCUGUGGCCCGGGAGGGCAAUGGAGGAUGGCCCAAGUGCUUGGGCCCUACACCCGCAUGGGAGACCAGGGGAAAGCACGUGGCUCCUGGCUUCGGAUCAGUGCGGUGUGCCGGGUGGCCAGCUGCAGCGGUCAUUGAGGGGUGAACCAAUGGUAAAGGAAAACCUUUCUCUCUGUCUCUCUCUCACUGUCCACUCUGCCUGUCCAAAAAAAAUCUAUAUGUGUAUAUAUAUAUAUAUAUACAUACAUACAUAUAUACAUAUAUACCUAAACAAAACCGAAAUUAAAACAGCCACCAGUUAAUACCAUGUGGCUGUUAAAUUAGCAGACAUUUAUGAAUUGAGUGUACUCACUGCUGGCUACUUUAGACUAACUGGGGAUUCUCAUCAUAGGUUGAGAGGAGUAUUAGUUGACAUGCUUCACAAAAUUGUCAGUGUGCAGUAAAGGCAUUAAAAAUCUUCCUACGCUUGUACCAGAUCACAUCACAAGGAUGUAUUUAGACAUUGUAUUUUGGGAGAGACAUUGGCAAGCAGGACAGGACCAAGAAGAGUGUGCCUAAGGUGGUUCUGGUUAUGGAUUCUUGUUAGGGAAAAGGUGAAUCAUGUGGGUUAUAGCCAAGUAUUGAGUAGGAGAGGUAGGGAGAUAGCUUUAGUAUUCAAAAAGCUGCUUGAGUGAGAGAUACUGUUGGUUGCAUAAGGGGAAAAAUGAGUCAGAUUCAAAAUGUUUCCAGCCGGUGCCGUGGCUCAACAGAUAAUCCUCCUCCUUGCGGUGCUGGCACACCAGGUUCUAGUCCCGGUUGGGGUGCCAGAUUCUGUCCUGGUUGCCCCUUUUCCAGGCCAGCCCUCUGCUAUGGCCUGGGAGUGCAGUGGAGGAUGGCCCAAGUCCUUGGGCCCUGCACCCCAUGGGAGACCAGGAGAAGCACCUGGCUCCUGCCAUUGGAUCAGUGCGAUGCUCCGGCCAUGGCGGCCAUUGGAGGGUGAACCAAUGGCAAAAAGGAAGAGCUUUCUCUCUGUCUCUCUCUCACUGUCCACUCUGCCUGUCCAAAAAAAAAAAAAUAUUGUUUCCUAGUUUAAGUCGAUGUUUGCCUGGAGAAAUGGAGGCCAUCUUACUAUGGUUUUACAUUGUGAUGUCAUUGGUUUCUUCAAAGUUCUGUAAGUUGUCUUGGCAACUUCCAAGUACACAGUUUCUCAGAGACAUCUUAGGAUGGGGUAAUCAUUCACCUCUUCCAGGAGACAUUGUGGCUAAGAGUGCUGCAUCCAGACUGCUCCCAGCUGAGUCUUGUGCCCCAGUUUUCUCGUGCGUCAAAAAGGGAACACAAUCAACCUCCUACACUUGUGGCUUUGGACUGGUGUCCUCUAAGCUCUUCCGGCGCUGUCAGGUGGUGGCCCUGUGGGCAUCCUGCUAGCUCUGGUUGAGUUGUUCCAUCAAGUUCAAGGUCACAGGGCCUGUGCUGUGGCUCGCUGAAGUGCCUCCUACAGACUGCAGUGACAAUGACCUUCUUCAGGCCUUUUGAGGGGGUUGCUUUGCAUUGCCGGUCUGUGGCUCACCAGAGGGCUGACGUCUCCAGAGCUGCUCCCCUAAACUCAAGGGCUGCAAAGUCUGAGUCUCCUGAAAAGUGAGACCCCACAUUCUUGGAAGAAGUCCUGGAGCAAUGGGGGUUCCAGUGGCCUAUGGGCUCUGCUGUUGGCUGCAGACGAGGCUGCUCUUGUGUGACAGCAGGACAUGGGGAGCCCUUCUCUGUGUUGAAAGAACCACCUAUAAAUAAAGAAAAUGUUCGUCUUGGCAGUGAACUGGGAGAUACCAGAACAGUAUGGCAUCACCAAGAAAUCCCACCUGCAUUAAAGAAAGUCACCAAGAGGAAGAGCAUGUGCUGAGCAGUGAGAUGUUGUUGAUGGGGAGAGAAGUCCAGCAGGCACGGGGCUUGUGCUAUCAGGAGGCAUCUAUCACACAGUUCAAGCAAACUUGGCAACUCCGUGGAAUCCACUGAACGCAAGGCCUUCAUGCUAGUGGGGAAGGAAGGUGGCAGGAGCAUUUGCCACUCAAAAGGCAAAGGUGCUCAGGACCUGUGAAAUGCAUGCACCUACCCUCCUGGACUCUCCACCUAUGGGUCACACUGGCCAGCAGGUGGAGCUGCUGGUUCACCUCCUUGUCAGAGUCCGUGUAACCUGGGAAGGCCAGCUGGACAGGAGUUAGAAUCCUGUUUGAGUCAGGUCUUGAGCCAUUCUCUCCACAUGUUAUGAUCAAGCACCCAGUCUUCUAGUCGGCACUGUCCCCGGCUAAGCUUUGUCUAUAUAUGCUUUGACCUGUGCAGAGCAACCCUUACUUGCGCAUGCUCAGACUUGCUUAAUGGAGACUCCCUGGCAGAAGUCUUGUGUCAUGCAGAGAGUGAUAGGGGAGUGUGGGUGCAGUUUGUUGGAAAGAUUGCGUGAGUCUCAAACGAGGUUUUAUUUGAAGGCAUAAUUGAACCCUUUAUUUUCUUCCCUCUCCAUUCAAGGAGAAAUAUCCCAUUUGUAGAAACACCUCAUUUGGGUGUCAGAGCCUCGGGCUAGGUCGCUCUCCGUAAGUACAAGGUAAAGGAGCACUUAGGCACAGAACACUUCUACAAGUCACUUAUUCAGUUGUUAACAGGCACUGAAGAAGGAUUAGGACUACAAGACAAACAGAAACCCAUUCUAGGACUACAAGACAAACAGAAACCAUUCCUGCCUUCACCUUCAAUGUAGAGGAUCAUGAGGAAGCAAGGUAAGUGGGAAGUCACAUGUAACUGACAUGCUGAAAUACAAGUGUCACUCACGUUCAUGGGAAAUGGAGCUGAAAGCUACAUUUAUUUUAGUGGAAAAAAAUCAAAAUCCAUGCAUAUGUUUUUGCAUUUUUCAUGAACAUUUUAGAAACAGCUAGUAUGGCACCCCUGAGUUACUAGGGGGUGGGGAUAUGUUAGGAUGUGCUUGUAUGAAAGAAGGAAAUGGAAAUGAAAACUUGACCUUGACCAAAUCAUGAAAUGAAUUUGAGCAUCACCUGUAUAACAUCAGGAAGAUCCUGAAUGACAGACCUGCAUUUCGGGUGAGAGUUUGAGACUUCCUGUCCCUAACCUGCACCCACUCUCCUCUCUCCCUCCCUUACACACAGUGAAACAAUCUCCUCCAGUAAUUCUCCAUUAAUCCCCGGGGUGGGUUUGGGGGGAGACAAGGCUCAGAGGUUCUGAUUUCUUUUCUGCCUUGCUGUAUUGUGGGGCAGGGGCUACACUAACAGAAUGCAAGGAUUCCCAUCAGCUAGUCACACAUCCAGUUGUUUAUAGCUGAUUCUGGAAACAUGCUAUAAAACAGAUUGACUUUGCUCCAGACUGUGGGCCCUUCUAUAAGAAGCUGUUAGCCUGAUAAAGGGUAGAUAACACACUUUACUCAAUUCCACAUGAGCUUCUUCCUGUCCUCCCUGUCCUCUUCUGGGAUGAAUUGGAAGCAAAACAUGUUUGAAUCAUGCACCUGCUUUCACUAAUCUUUCUUUAGAGGGAACUUGGAGUUUGCUGUUCCUGCCACCUGCAAUGCUCCCCUCCCUUCUUUCACUUCUCUGCCCAUGGGUCACCUCUUUUCUUACCACUUUUCUUAAAAUGCCACUGCUUUUCCUCCACCCCUUCAUCUUGGCUUGUUCUUGUGCAUUCUCACACAAGAGUAGCAGGGCCCCAAGUGGUUUUGUUUUCCACAGUGUCCACAAAUGUCCUGGCAAAAUGUCAUGUGUCCCCCAAUGUACAGGCAUAAUCAUCUGCCCAGUGAAGGGGGGGUGGGGCAGUUGCUUUGGUAUUCUGACAGCUCCUCCCACAGCCUCAGGGUGGACAAGCAGUCAGUGUUCUAAAUCUGCUACCCUCCCUAGUGAGGGAGGGAGGGAAGAAGGAAGGGAGGGAGGAAGGGUAUGGGUCUGGUUGAGGGCUAGACUGUACAACAGGUGGAGCAGGAGCAUCAUGAAAGCAGUUUCUGCUCCUCUGUCCCCAAUGCCUUGGUGCUCUGGGCAGAACUUGAGUCACCUUGCAGAGACUUCAGUCGUAAGUGGGGACACACACUUUCAAUGCUCAUAGGAAGAUAGGAAUGGGUAGUGAUGGCACAUUAUGGGUACAGAGGACUUGAGGCAAACAGAAGUUUGACUGCAAGCUGGUGGGCUUACCAUGGUGUGGCUGCGUGGCUGGUCAGUCUUGAGUGUGGGGUGUAAUCUCACCCACAGCAGCAACCCCUGAGACCCGGCCUCCUUCAUCCUCUUGCACAGACACAGGGAGACAGAUAGAUCUUCCAUCUGCUGCUUCACUCUCCAAGUGGCCACAAAGACCAGGGCUGGUCCAAGCUGAGGCCAGGAGCCUGGAACUCCAUCUGGGUCUUCCACAUGAGCACAGGGGCCAUCUUCUGCUCUUUUCCAGGUGCAUCAACAGGGAGCUGGGUCAGAAGCAGAGCAGCCGGGACUCAAACUGAAGCUCAUACAGGAUGCUGGCAUGGCAGUUGGCAGCUUAACCCCUGGACCACAAAGUUAGCCACAAAGCUGAUAUUUUUUUAAGAUAUAUUUAUUUAUUUGAAAGGAAGAGUUACAGAGAGGCAGAGGCAGAGAGCGAGAAAGAAAAAGAGAGAGAGAGAGAGAGAGAGAGAGAGAGUUUUCCAUCCACCAGUUCACUCCCCAAAUAGCUGCAAUGGCCAGAGCUGGACCAAUCCAAAGCCAGGGGCCAGAAGCUUCUUCCAGGUCUCCCACAUGGGUGCAGGGGCCCAAGGAUUUGGGCCAUCUUCUACUGCUAUCCCAGGCCAUAGCAGAAAGCUGGAUUGGAAGAGGAGUGGCCGGGACUAAAAUCAGCACCCAUAUGGGAUGCCGGAGCUUCAGGCCAGGGCUUUAACCCGUUGCGCCACAGUGCUGGCCCUUUCCAGAUUCUUUACUGAGUGAAACUAUUCAAAAAUAUGAGGUUACUAAGGGCAAGCUUUAUGGCACAGCAGAUUAAGUGGCUGCCUGGGAUGCUUUCACCAACCUGCCUGCUUCUGCCACUGCUACCGCUACUGCUGCUCAGGGAAGCAUGAGAUGACGGUUCAAGUACUUGGUCCCCUGAUCUCUGCAAGGGAGACCUAAAUUGUAUCCUGUGCUCCUGGCUUUGGCCGGGCCCUACCUGACUGCUAUGUGCAUUUGAGGAGUGAAUCAAUUUACGGAAGAUCUGUCUGUCUGCCUU